rnacentral:rRNA from 1 species
GACGAACGCUGGCGGCGUGCUUAACACAUGCAAGUCGAACGGAAAGGCCCCUUUGGGGGUACUCGAGUGGCGAACGGGUGAGUAACACGUGAGUAACCUGCCCUUGACUUCGGGAUAACUUCAGGAAACUGGGGCUAAUACCGGAUAGGAAUCCUUGCUGCAUGGUGGGGGUUGGAAAGCUUCGGCGGUUUUGGAUGGACUCGCGGCUUAUCAGCUUGUUGGUGGGGUAGUGGCUUACCAAGGCUUUGACGGGUAGCCGGCCUGAGGGGGCGACCGGCCAAGUUGGGGCUGGGUCACGGCCCUACAGUCGACGGGGAGCAGGGGGGGGGAACUCUAGAAUAUGAGUGCAAGCCUGAUGGAGCAAGGCCGCGUUCGGGGUGACGGGCUUAGGGUUGGAAAACGCAUUGCGGCUGGGCGAAGCUUGUGGUGACGGUACCUUCAGAAGAAGCACCGGCUAACUACGUG